ensembl:rRNA 5S_rRNA 5S ribosomal RNA
AUCUAUAGCCAUACCACCCUGAAUGUGCCCAAUCUCGUCUGAUCUUGGAAGCCAAGCAGGGUUGGGGUUGGUUAGUGUUUGGAGGGGAGACUGCCAGGAAUACCAGGUGCUGUAGGUU